rnacentral:SRP_RNA from 1 species
UGCUGGUCCCCUCGCGACGACUAGUUGUGAACCCCGUCAGGCCCGGAAGGGAGCAGCGGUAACAAUGAAUUCGGGCGCCGAGGUGUGGCUGGCAAGG